UGGCAUCGCCGAGGAAUUGAACCCGUGACCUUGUGCGCCGCAACAACAGCAGCUAUCCACUCGGCUACACUGCC